AACAAGGCGUACCUGCGGACCUGCGGAGGGAUCAUUACAGAGUUCGUGCCCUCGCGGGUAGAUCUCCCACCCUUGUGUAUUCCUUACAUUUUGUUGCUUUGGCAGGCCGUUGGUUCGCCAACCACCGGCUCUACGGGCUGGUGCGUGCCUGCCAGAGGACCCCCCAAACUCGGUUUGUUAGUGUCGUCUGAGUAACCAUAACAAUCGUUAAAACUUUUAACAACGGAUCUCAGAUCGGAA
rnacentral:misc_RNA from 1 species